UUAGAGUUUGAUCCUGGCUCAGGAUGAAACGCUGGCGGCAGGCUUAACACAUGCAAGUCGAGGGGCAGCGGGGAGUAGCAAUACUCUGCCGGCGACCGGCAAAAGGGUGCGUAACGCGUGAGCAACUUGCCCGUAUCUGGGGGAUAACCGAUGGAAACGUCGCCUAAUACCCCGUAACAAGGAGAUCCGCAUGGAUUUCCUUUGAUAGCUCCGGCGGAUACGGAUGGGCUCGCGUGACAUUAGCUAGAUGGUGGGGUAACGGCCCACCAUGGCGACGAUGUCUAGGGGUUCUGAGAGGAAGAUCCCCCACACUGGAACUGAGACACGGUCCAGACUCCUACGGGAGGCAGCAGUGAGGAAUAUUGGACAAUGGAGGCAACUCUGAUCCAGCCAUGCCGCGUGAGGGACUAAGGCCCUAUGGGUCGUAAACUUCUUUUGACGCAGGGCAAUAAGGUCUACGUGUAGAUCGAUGAGAGUAUGCGUCGAAUAAGCAUCGGCUAACUCCGUGCCAGCAGCCGCGGUAAUACGGAGGAUGCAAGCGUUAUCCGGAUUUAUUGGGUUUAAAGGGUGCGUAGGCGGAUGAUUAAGUCAGUGGUGAAAGGUCCCGGCUCAACCGGGGAGCUGCCAUUGAUACUGGUUGUCUUGAAUGCGGAUGCCGUGGGAGGAAUGUGUGGUGUAGCGGUGAAAUGCAUAGAUAUCACACAGAACACCGAUUGCGAAGGCAUCUCACGAAUCCGUUAUUGACGCUGAGGCACGAAAGCGUGGGGAUCAAACAGGAUUAGAUACCCUGGUAGUCCACGCAGUAAACGAUGAUGACUAACCGCCGGCGAUACACAGUCGGUGGCCAAGCGAAAGCGAUAAGUCAUCCACCUGGGGAGUACGACCGCAAGGUUGAAACUCAAAGGAAUUGACGGGGGCCCGCACAAGCGGAGGAACAUGUGGUUUAAUUCGAUGAUACGCGAGGAACCUUACCCGGGCUCGAACGGCUAGUGAACGACACAGAGAUGUGAAAGUCCUUCGGGACACUAGUCGAGGUGCUGCAUGGUUGUCGUCAGCUCGUGCCGUGAGGUGUCGGCUCAAGUGCCAUAACGAGCGCAACCCUUGUCGUCAGUUACCAGCACGUAAAGGUGGGGACUCUGGCGAGACUGCCACCGCAAGGUGUGAGGAAGGGGGGGAUGACGUCAAAUCAGCACGGCCCUUACGUCCGGGGCGACACACGUGUUACAAUGGUGGGUACAGAGGGGUGCUACCUGGUGACAGGAUGCUGAUCUCGAAAACCCAUCUCAGUUCGGAUUGGAGUCUGCAACUCGACUCCAUGAAGUUGGAUUCGCUAGUAAUCGCGCAUCAGCCAUGGCGCGGUGAAUACGUUCCCGGGCCUUGCACACACCGCCCGUCA
rnacentral:rRNA from 1 species